rnacentral:rRNA from 1 species
CCUACGGGAGGCAGCAGUCGAGAAUCAUUCACAAUGGGGGAAACCCUGAUGGUGCGACGCCGCGUGGGGGAAUGAAGGUCUUCGGAUUGUAAACCCCUGUCAUGUGGGAGCAAAUUAAAAAGAUAGUACCACAUGAGGAAGAGACGGCUAACUCUGUGCAAGCAGCCGCGGUAAUACAGAGGUCUCAAGCGUUGUUCGGAAUCACUGGGCGUAAAGCGUGCGUAGGCUGUUUGGUAAGUCGUGUGUGAAAGGCGCGGGCUCAACCCGCGGACGGCACAUGAUACUGCGGGACUAGAGUAAUGGAGGGGGAACCGGAAUUCUCGGUGUAGCAGUGAAAUGCGUAGAUAUCGAGAGGAACACUCGUGGCGAAGGCGGGUUCCUGGACAUUAACUGACGCUGAGGCACGAAGGCCAGGGGAGCGAAAGGGAUUAGAUACCCUAGUAGUC